rnacentral:lncRNA from 10 species
GGGACAUUAUUGAAACCAGCCCGCCCUGAGCCUGUUUACCCUGCUUCCUCUGUUCCUUCCCGUGGGAAACGUGGGAACCGCAGUGCAGGCUCCGCCCGCACUCUCCUCCUGCUCCCAGUGCCUCCAGACAGGCUCUGGUGCUUCUGUGAGGCCCCGCCCCUCCUGUUUCUAGGGGCCUAAGUGUAAUAAGCCUCCGUCCCACAGUCAUUCCUAUGGCUGUGUCUCCCCCACCAGCCUAAAGCAAACCCUGGGAACCCUUCAAACACCUGCAGUGCAGAGUCCUUUCUCCAUGUUAUGUGGGGCCGCUCUGGUGUCCCAGCCCCUGUGAAUGAGGUCACGACGCCAGCUCAGCCAGUCCUGGAAGCCAUCUGAGAGCUGCUCUCCUGCUCAAGCCAAUGUGUGAAAUACGGCAUUUUGGAUACAUCAUCACCAGUGAGCCAAGCUGGACGCUAGUUAAAGCGGAACCACCAUCAGAAGCCAUCCAGAGAAACGCACCAGGCCACAAAGCACUGGGGGCCAGGGAUCUUGCCCCUGCUGUCUGCCAUGGGUUGACCCCCAGCCUCCAACCCUACCAUCCCCUGACGGUGUCUGCAGCAGUUGAACCCAACCAGCAUCUAAAAGAACACAGUUGGUGAACGAGACUGGGACACAGGGCAAGAUGGGUGGACAAUGGGAGGCUCCUGGAGAGCACCCGUACCAGCGAGCAUAGAAUUCAUGGGGGUGACCUGUUCCCUGAAGCAUCUGCGCGUGUUGUUCCAGCAUUUUCUUCAAGGAUUGAGCCAGCAGCACCAGUGUCAUACGGUGCUUAAAUCAAUGAUUCACAACCAACCAAUGAAAUACAAGGUGCCGGCUGGGCGCGGUGGCUCACGCCUGUAAUCCCAGCACUUUGGGAGGCCGAGGCGGGCG